AUUAAGCGCACUUAUGGGUUUCACUGCCCAACAUUUGACCGUCUGUCUUAUUUAAAUUUUUUAUGAUUUAUAUUUUUAUUGUUAUUAGAUGAUAAUAUAUAAAUAGUAAUUUAUGUGCGACUUAAUUUUUAAAACUUUUUUAUAAAUUUUUUAAAUAAGAUGGAUGGUUAAAUGUUAGAUACGAAAACUUAUGGUUGCAUUUAAA
rfam:Oryza glaberrima chromosome 1 Oglab01_0313_15, whole genome shotgun sequence.